GGAAAGGGGACACCACCCUGCGUCGGAGCCGGGCGCCGCGGAAGCCGGGCGCCGAGGAAGCCUGCAGCCGCGGAGCCACGUGCUGGAGCCGGAGCCGGCAGGGCCCCGGCUCUACAAGUGAUGCCAGCCCAGGGAGGGGGCGCCUGAAUCUCGUCUCGCGGGCAGAGGUAGCACACCAGCCGGGUGAACAGAGCCCAUCGGGUCUGUCCAGAGCUGCUCGUCCUCACAGCCUCCAGCGACCACGUGAGCUGCUUCUUGCCUCAUAGGACCCUCCUUCAAUCUCCUGCAGAGCAAGAGCUCUCGGCCUGUCUCCUUGGGCAGCCUUUUCCCAAGUGUGCGGGUGGGCGGCUCAUUUCUGCCAAGCGACUCCAGCCCAAAAUAGCAUUGAACCAGACUUCUGGGAAGCCCUGCGCUCCCGGCCUCUGUAGAAAAAAAGUGAGAAAUGACAGCUCUUGGGAAACCAAGGGGGCUAAUUUGCUGAGACGGGACAAGAUGCAGAGCCCUGUGACCUCAGAGGGCAAAAAUAGUGGCCAGGGAGGGGUACAGAGCGUGUUAGGGUGGCAGGUCCCCGGCCUGUGUGGCUGCCCUUCUGGGAAGUUGGUGGGCUGGGCCAGUGGGGAUGAUCCUGGGAGCCAAGGCCAGGUGCAGGAGGAGGCGGUGGCCAGAUACUUAAACCACAAACACCACAACCCCCAACUUCCACAUUUGUUCUUCAGGCUGAGAACUCUCCUGGUGGGGGUGGCCUCCUCCGCUAUUUCAAAUCCUGAUCUCUCGUGGUUCAGGCUUGGGCCAGGUCCCUGGCCACCUUGUCUGGGAAGCUGCUUUCUCCCAUCCCACUGAGUGCUCUUAGCCCUGGGCACCUCCACGGAACCUUGCCAUGCUUUGCCUGCCUGGCCUGAGAGGUUUUGCUGUAUUCAACUUCCCGUUCUAUCCAGAAGCCCCCACCAUCCCCCCAGCCCCGGAAUGUCACCUUCGCAGCUCCCUCUCGGUGGAGGUGGAAGUCCUGGGGAAGUGCAUUCAUUAGCUGUCAGCCUGCCCUCUUCUGCCCUUGUGCCCUGAGAAGCCUUCUUAGUGUCUGCUGGGACUUCCUGUUUGCUGUGUCUGCUUCCAUGGGAGCCUCAUCUUGGGUGUUGACCCAGCCUGCUCUUGGCCUGACAGCUCACCCCAGCCUCUGGGACCCUGGCUCGUCGUCCAGAUCGACUCCUGGCAGCCCUUCAGCAGGAAGAGCCUCCGCUCCCUCCCUUAGCGAUUGGAACGGAGGGAGGGGGGGGCAGAGGGCAGAGGGUUCAGUGUACGGCACCGAAACUGUGGUCUUGUGUGUACUUCCCCGCUCAGGACACAGGUGCUAACAUAACAUGUCAGGUGUAAAUGUCCAUGCAUACAAUACAGAAAGUAAAUUGGCUUCACGGAACUUUUUUCAAAGCAUCCCAAUGAAUACAAGAUUCCCCUCAUGCAUUCAGAGGGCUCGCUUUCCUUGCAACUUUUUGGGAGCAGUUGCAUUGAAAAUGAGGUAUAAGAUUAGGAGAUGAGUUAGCAGGGAUCAGACGAUGUUCAGGGGUCAGGUAAUAAAAUUCUGUAUUAUUGCAGACGCCAAAAACGUUGGAGAUGAAAGUGUGCUGAACAGGGAGCAGCUGCCAGAAGUGGUUUGGCAUAACAUCUGCGUCCCUUGGUAGCGUUUAUCACUUCACUGAGCAGCUAACCUCGAGCCAUCCAUGAGCCACAUCCUGGGGGACACUGUGUUAGGAGCCCUUGGGUCCACCCCUGGCUCUGCCAGGUCUGAGUCCUGCUCUCUGGGGCCACCUGCUUCCCUGUCUGGGCCUUGGUUUCUUUACCUGUAAAAGAUCGUUACACCUACCUCUUCGAGCUCUUUUAGGACCAGAGGAAGUGACUCCCAAUGGGCACACGGUAAAGAGUAGCUUAACAUAUUUUGGAUUUUUUUGGGGAGGGUGGGGUUAAUCCUCACCUGAGGUUUUUCAUUGAUUUUUAAAGACAGUGGAAGAGAGGGGAAGAGACAGAGAGAAACUUUGAUGUGAGAGACAAACAUCAAUUGGUUGCCUCCUGCAGACACCCCAACCUGGGGCCAAGGAAUUGAGCCUGCAAUGGAGGUACAUGCCCUUGACGGGAAUUGAACCUGAGACCCUCCAGUCCCAGGGCUGAUGCGCUCUCCACUGAGAUUUUCUUUUUUCUUUUCUUUUUUUUUUUUAAAAAAUAUAUAUUUUAUUGAUUUUUUUACAGAGAGGGAGGGGAGAGGGAUAGAGAAUUAGAAACAUCGAUGAGAAAGAAACAUUGAUCAGCUGCCUCCUGCACACCCCCUACUGGGGAUGUGCCCACAACCGAGGUACAUGCCCUUGACCGGAAUCAAACUUGACACCCUUCAGUCCACAGGCCGACGCUCUAUCCACUGAGCCAAACCGGUUAGUUCACUGAGAUUUUCUAACUAUGGGGGUAACAACUUCCUGCACUUAUAUAAUCUUUUCCAUCUGGGGUUCUUUAUUUUUUUAUUUUUAUUGAUUAAGGAAUUACAUAUGUGUGGGGGUCUUUAGAUCCAGGUUCCGUCCAGGGCAAAGAAGGUCAGCCUGAGAGAGCAAUUCGUCCUUUCAGAAGCCACGGGAGUAAAGACCCAGAUCUCUAGGCGGAAGGAAUUUUACAGCAGCACAUCUACCAACCGAUAGGGCCUGAGAGAAACCUGAUAAGGAAUCAGCCAGAGGCCUAAUCAGUGACAAAGAUGGCCUUUGCCCAGACACUGGGCCCCGAACGUGGCUUUAAUCUAGGAGGUGUUGAAAGAGCAUAAUAAAUACUUAUUCCGUCCAGUCAAGUCCAAGAGUUUGAGGGAAAACUGCAGCGUUUAGGUUGUGUGUGUGUCCCUCCGCCACGUGAGAUGUGACUCUGAGGGAAGACACUAAGCCAGACCCUGACGGUGCUGGUGGGGCCCAGAGCCUCAUGCCGGGCCCUGGACUCCUGCCCCGGUGGACGGGAGCAGGAAGCACACAUGAACCGCCUACACCGGCCGCCCUUCUGAGAGGGAGCAAGAGCUGUCCUUUGCACCUCAGCUCUUUCUGGCCCAGCUGACACCAAUUCAGGGGAGACAUGGCAUAUUGAUUUCCUAGGACUGCGUAACCACGCACCACAAACUGGGUAUCUUAAAGCAACAGAAAUUCAUUUGCUCAGAGUUCUGGAGGCGAGAGGUCUGAAAUCAAGGUGUCGGCAGGGCCAUGCCCGCUCAGAGACUGGGUUCAAUCCUUCCUUCCUUGUCUUUCCCUAGCUUCCUAGCCGUCGGGAGCUGACAAUCCUUGCGUCCCUUGGUUUAGCAGGGGUGGGGGAUGUCCGGCCCAAGGGCCGUAUCAAGCCCUCGAAAUCAUUUGGCCUGGCCUUGCCAAGGCAACCGCAGGCAGGACUCGAAAUUCAACAAAUCUAGGAGCUUUGUUCAUAGCAACAUAAAUGCAUAUUAAGUGAAUGCUAUUGAGCAAGUGAUGUUACAAAUAUCCAGAUGGCUCUUGGCAGGAAAAAGGUGCCUCACCCCUGGUUUAUAGCUACAUCGCUCCAAUCCCUGCCUCCGUUGGCACGUGGCGUUCUCCCAGCCUCUCUCUCUGUCUUCUGGUGGCAUUCUCCUCUUUAUAAGGACACUGGUCAUAGUGGAUAAGGGCCCACCCCAAGUACCUCUUCUUCACUUGAUUACAUCUGCAAAGAACCUGUUUCCUAAUAAAGCCAUAUUCACAGGGACUAGGGCUUAGGACUGCACGGUACCUCUUUUAGGGAAAACAACCCAUAAUAUAUGGUCACGGGGCUACGUUUGAUACAUGGGCUGUAGCACAAGCUGAGGGGGUAGUCAACACAGGGACAUUCCAUACGUGCUGGCGAGGGGGCCCAUGGAGGCAGCAGGUCCAUCUCUCCGGAACCUCAAACACAUCCAUGUCCUUGAAUCCAGUGAUCCGUUUCUAGGAAGUCAUUAAACAAGUUGGUAAAACCUGUGCAGAGGUAUGUCUCUCAAUGCUGUUUGUAAUAAUUAAUUACUGGGAACAACUUCAAUGUCCCACAGAUAGGGAUGGCGACUAAAAUAAGGCGUAGCCACAUGAGGGGAUAUUACAUAGCCUUUAGAAAGGAUGUUUCCAGAAAAGAAAAAUAACAGGAAAAACGAAACGAUAUGUUUUAGGCUGUUGUCAACUUUAUAAAAAUAUAUAAGGAAGGAAAAAAAUCAGCAUAAUGUUAAUGCUCUCCCCCCCUUUAUGGAGGAAUUAUGAGUGAUUUUGUUAUUUUAAAAAAUUAUGACAUUAUAUAAACUCUCUUCAUUAGCUUUAUAGCCAAGCGGGGGGCGGGGGGGGGGAACGAAUGAUCUUUAAAAAAUAGAUAUAUGAAUAGUUUCCUGGAGUAUACAUUCCAGGAGAGUUCUGGCUGGAGGAGAGCAGCAGCUGCUGGGUGUCCGGCUGAUUUCCGUGCUUAUAGGCCACACCAUCACCCCCCGGGAGCUUUUCAGCAUGUAGUUGGGUGGCUACUUGCAUCAGAAUUACCCAAGGUGCACCCGGCUGGUGUGGCUCCUAUGAACCAGGAGGUCACGGUUCGAUUCCCAGUCAGGGCACAUGCCCGGGAUGCAAGAUCGAUCUCCAGUAGGAGGGGUGCAGGGAGCAGCCGAUCCAUGAUUCUCUCUCAUCAUUGAUGUUUCUAUCUCCCUCUCCCUUCCUCUCUGGAAUCAAUAAAAAUAUAUUUUAAAAAAUAACUGCCCAUGACGGUUAUUUAAAAAUGCAGGAUUCUAGGUCCCACCCCAGACCGCCUCGAUCAGGGUCUCCGGGUGCAGGGCCCAGGAAUUAGCAUUCUCACAGGCUGCGCAUUUGAGACUGAGUUCCCCCACCCACUCAUCAGUAAUCAGUGUGGUUUGUCACACCAGUCAUCGAUGCCCUCCCAGCCCACACCGUGCUUUGAAGAAUAAAAUAAAAUAGAGAAGUUAUUCUCUUAAUAAAGUCUAUUUUUGGUUGUCUCACCUAAGAAGGGAAGCUGCAGAACACAAUAUUAAAACGAAUAGGAAAUUCAUCAUUGUGUUUUAUUUUGGAACUCGGUAGCCGCAGCUUGCGUUUCUUCGUUUAAUAAUUGAAAGGAAUUUAACAUUCCCAGACUGGUCCUAGUGUGGGGUUCAGAAAGUUGCAGGGAGACAUCAGCCCACAGUGAAAGGUUUGCCCAUUAACCAGGGGGUGUUUCAUGUGCAGGCCGUUGAGAACCGUAAUUACAGACGGUGAUUUCUUGUAACUUACAACCUUGAGGUUUCCUUUAUGGCCGGGCCGGGAGCAAUAUCAGAGGACAGAGGCCGGUGGAACGUUGUCCUCUUGAAGGCGUGUCCUGGUUCAGGGCAGGGCUGGGGUGAAGGCGGGUCGAGCCCUGCGGUGCCGGGACUUGUCGAGACCCAGGCAGGCCUGGCGUGCUCAGGGGGGGCCCAACAGCUGUGCAAUUAGACAGCUCAUCAGGGGGUGAAAUUCAACCCCACGGAGAGGCAACAGUCCAAGGUCUUAGUCCAUACAUGUUGCUUCUGGAGUUGGUCAUAGGCGCGUGGGUGAGCCGUCCUGAGAGUGAAAUACGUGUCUACACGUGGGAGCGCUCAGAAGAAAGAACCAGAAGGACAGCAACUGUGAGACUGUGCGUCUCACCCCCUGGACGUGGUCAUGUCCCCUUUCUGCGCCUUCGCACAGGUGGCCUCAGGAUGCCCCUCGCCUGAGCCCGUCUCGGGGGGAGGAGGGCAAAGGAGGUAGGCUCCGGAGGGGCGAAGAGCCGGGCACCUAAACCACACCUUCCAUUUGUGCUUUGUCAUCAUGCCCAGCACGCAGGCUGGCGGGGGCCGACCUCCCGCGGUGAGAGAGGGG